ensembl:lncRNA LIFR-AS1 LIFR antisense RNA 1
GGCCGCGCGCCCGCGCGCGCGGGUGCUCCAAGGAGUCGGAGGAACGCGGCCGCGCGACGGGCCCCGGACGCCGAGGGUGGUGCUUCCUCCGAGCCUCCGGUGGUGAGGCCGCUCUCAGAAGGUCAUGGAAGCGCAGGGGAGAGCGAGGCGGCCGAGCCCAGGCAAAUCCUCGAGAAAGGCCGAGUGCGCGACGGCUCUGCGGGGAGGACCGCGCCUCCCCGAAUGCGGCCGCUGCUGCCGCUGCAAACAGUGCCUUGAGGAGAGGAAAGCGGGGAACCGUGUUUUCGCCGCCUCUGUAACCACUGCACACAAGAAAACCAGCUUCUGGGAGAGGGGGAUGAUUGUUGGGACUUUGCGAAUUACCUAAACAGCCCAGGGCCGAGGCGCCGCCGCUCGCGUCCUGGUCCUCCUGCCGGGUGUGGGGCUCCCCUGCCCGAGAUGGCCAGCGGGCGCGCCGAGAGUAUCCUGGAGCCAUCUAGUCUUGCCUCGGAGGCGGGGUGGGCUUAUUUGUGCGGAGAAGAAACGGAUCUCUUAAUGGGGUGAGAUUUUUCCUCCGUACAUUGUUCCCAUUUCCGCAGUUUCACUUGGCCUCGGUUUUCUAGCAGAGUAAUCACCAAAUGAAAUUAGCUGGAGAGCGUUUGAUGGCGCAGAAUCACGGUCUGAAGAUGUUUACGCUGUAUGCCGGACGCGUUUGAUGGUGUUCUCUUCGGCACAAUUAAUUUUGCAAAGUUCAGAAAUGUGCCAGACAGAGCCCCUGGCACGCAGUCAGGACUCUACAGACACACCUUGAGUAGGAAACAGGCUUGUUUGUUUCAUCUGUGAUUUAUGUGAUGCACCAGCACCAAGGCCAACGUGUUUUUUAAAGACCUUUCGAUGAAACUCCAAAGCAAUUUAUAAAUUGGCAAAAUGAAGCUUGUUUUGUAAAAUAACUCUUCCUUGUUGAUCAUGUAAUUAAAUGGGCAACAAAACACCUGAAAGGACAUUUACUGAAAAGUAGACUCCCAAAACAAAAAUAUGUAUUUCACAGCUAGAUACGGUCGCUAUUAGCGUCCUAAUGGCCAACUCCAUCCAUGUGCGUAUUUUGAACACUAAAAACGCCUCCUGUUACCCCUAAGACCUUGUUUGGAUAACAUUUUUCUAUUAUAAGUACUCGAAACCAACCCCAUUUAAGAUGUUUACCCUUAUUCUUGAGUCCUUGAUGGUUUGGGAAAUUUAUCAUUAUUCAUAUUGCACAAUCCUGUCACUGUCUUUUCCAUUAGGCACAGUGCCUAAGGUCCACAAUAUUUUUAGAGGCCCACAAAAAAUAUUUUAAUUUCUUUUCAAAUCAGAAGGAAAAAAAAUUUAGGUUUAAGAAAGUAUUUUAAUAUAUAUUAAUAUAUUUGUUUUUGUGCUAAUACAAUCUUAAAAUGUAUGUAUAUAUGUGUGUGUGUAUAUGUAUAUAUAUUUUAAUGGAGUAAGGGGCUCAACGAAGGCAAAAAGGCCUAGAGCCCAAGAAAAACAUGAUGUGGCCCUGUUGCCUGGGGUUGAAAAAUCCCAUUCCAUGAGAAGAAUUUAGUUUUAAGAAUAUUACAUAAAAUGCUCAUUUCUGUGGCCUUGCUAUAAUAGAAAGAUGGAGAUUCAGAGUAGUGAUAAUGGCUAACAUCCACCUGAUACACACCAUGUGUCCAUUACCUCUUAAUCCUCACAGCACACCUGUGAAAUAGGUACUAUUCUCACACUUAGGGGGUAAUGCAGGUUUUGUGGGGCCUGCAAUUUAUGCAAUUUGGGUGGUCCUCUUAAAGAAAAAGCAAAUACUGUGUAUUAGUCCGUUCUCACACUGCUAUAAAGAACUGCGCGAGACUGGGUAAUUUAUAAAGGAAAGAGGUUUAAUUGACUCACAGUUCCACAUGGCUGGGGAGACCUCAGGAAACUUAACAAUCGUGGUGGAAGGAGAAGCAAGUACCUUCUUCACAAGGAAGCGGAAAGAAUUGUGAGCGGAGGAACUUGCCAAACACAAAACCGUCAGAUCGCGUGAGAAUUCAGUUACUAUCACGAGAACAACACGGGAAAACUGUCCCCAUAAUCAAGUCAUUUCUCUCCCUAACAAGUGAGGAUUACAAUUCAAGAUGAGGUUUGGGUAGGAACACAAAGCCUGACCCUAUCCCACAGCAUGUCCAGGCUGCCCUAGCACCACCCAAUAGAAGGGAAAAUGGCAGAGGGAAAGUCCUAGUGGAAAGAGACCUCAGUCUCAGCUAAUUGUGGUGACAAUAUAUUGCUUUUGCAAAUUGUACAUAAACAUAUGACCAGGUGAAUGUAUCGCCAAGGCUCCUGCCAAGGCCUGGGAUGGAGGCCUAGAGAAGAUGCCCGAAAGUUUAUGCUGUGUGAGCUUCACAGAAGACCUGCCUUCCAUGUAUACCCAUUUUACAGGUGUCUGUGCGGUGCAGAAACUGUACAACUGUAUACAGUGACCAUUUCUACUCUGGGUCUCUAAACAAGGGCUGGUAUCGUUACAGAGACUGAAGACUGAGGAAGACCAUCUCUGUAGGAUGCCAAGGAUUGACUGGAGAAAGUCUGGGGUCCCUCUACCUGGGAUGUGAUUCAGUACCCAAUGGUGGAGCGGUCGUUGAGGAAUGAAGACACAUACAAAGGGUAAAGGAGCAGAAUUUUCCACAAAUGAGUUCAUUUAUAAAGAGAAAGGCAAGCUUUGAUGACAACACCUUCACAAAAUGGAGGCCUUUGAAAACAUUGGUCUGGAUUGAGGAGUUGGAGAAGAAUGAAGUGCACAUCAACCAAACAGAAGAGAAGCAAUUUGGAGGAGGAAAAAAUCAGUUCUUCAUGAAAGGAUCACAUUGAUCUUGAUCAGGAAUUUAGGAGCAGCUUACCUAAUGGCACCUGGUUACCUAAUGGCACCCUCAACAGCUUACCUAAUGGCACCCUCACUUGGUUCUGGCUCCGGGCCUCUCACAAGAUUGUACACAUGAUGAUGGCCAAGUUUGCAGUCAUCUGAAGUCUUGACUGGAGCUGGAGACUACAUUUCCAAGAUGGCUCACUCAUAUUGCUAGUAAGUUGGUGGUGUCUGUUGGCAAGAAACCCCAAUUCCUGGUCAUAUGAAUCUUUCCAUAGGGCUGUGAUGAGAGUCCUCAUAACAGGGCAGCUGGUUUACCCCUAAGCAAAUAAUCCAAGAGAGAGAAACGCAGAAGCCACAAUGUCUUUUGUGACCCAACCUUGGGAGCCACAUACCAUCAUUUCUACAAUGUCCUGUUGCUUAUGCAUGUUGGCACUAUUCAUUGUGGGAAGAGACUACACAAGGACAUGGAUACCGGAAGGAAGCGACCACUGGGGUCAUCUUGGAGACUGGCUACCACAAGAUGUUUGACAGAUCUAGAAGUCUUGAACCAAAGGUCGUUUUGUCAAAUGCUCUUGUCAUUUUGAUAAUAAACUCAGUGUCUUAGAGGUGCUAACAAAAAGGUUAUAUGUACCCAGAAAUUGAAAGCGGCUGGAAUUCAACUUCUUGAGUGCCAUCAUGUUUUUUUCCUGCUACAUGGUUUAAUAAAGUACAUAUA